GGAGGAAAAUAUGUCUGCAACCUCUGUCACUUCACUGAUCACUGCAGUUGACUCAGCUGACUUGGUUAAUCAGUAGAAGUCUCCUUUGUCCAGCACAGCUCCAUGUCCAUCUCUCUAACCCUGAGUUUAAAAAGAAAGUCCUUUCCAAACAGAGAGGAAUCAUUCUGCAGGCAAGGACAAAGU
rnacentral:snRNA from 1 species